CAGCCGCCACGGUAAUACGAAGGGGGCUAGCGUUGUUCGGAUUUACUGGGCGUAAAGCGCACGUAGGCGGACAUUUAAGUCAGGGGUGAAAUCCCAGAGUUCAACUCUGGAACUGCCUUUGAUACUGGGUGUCUGGAGUAUGGAAGAGGUAAGUGGAAUUCCGAGUGUAGAGGUGAAAUUCGUAGAUAUUCGGAGGAACACCAGUGGCGAAGGCGGCUUACUGGUCCAUUACUGACGCUGAGGUGCGAAAGCGUGGGAAGCAAACAGGAUUAGAGACCCCGGUAGUCCCUGUCUCUUAUAC
rnacentral:rRNA from 1 species